rnacentral:rRNA from 1 species
UACGUAGGGGGCGAGCGUUGUCCGGAUUCAUUGGGCGUAAAGCGCUUAAGGCGGUUCGCUAAGUCGGGUGUGAAACCUCCAGGCUCAACCUGGAGACGCCACUCGAUACUGGCGUGACUAGAGUUCGGUAGGGGACCACGGAAUUCCAGGUGUAGCGGUGAAAUGACGUAGAUAUCUGGAGGAACACCAGUGGCGAAGGCGGCUCACUGGUCCGAUACUGACGCUGAGGCACGAAAGCGUGGGGAGCAAACAGGG